CAGCCUCCCAAACAGUGAGUUUAUCUUUAAGAGUAGGACUGUGGGCCGGACAUGGUGGCUCAUGCUUGUAAUCCCAGCACUUUGGGAGGCCGAGGCAGGUGGAUCAUGAGGUCAGCAGUU